rnacentral:rRNA from 1 species
AAUAGAUACCCAGGUAGUCCACGCCGUAAACGAUGAGUGCUAAGUGUUGGGGGUUUCCGCCCCUCAGUGCUGCAGCUAACGCAUUAAGCACUCCGCCUGGGGAGUACGGCCGCAAGGCUGAAACUCAAAGGAAUUGACGGGGGCCCGCACAAGCGGUGGAGCAUGUGGUUUAAUUCGAAGCAACGCGAAGAACCUUACCAGGUCUUGACAUCCCGCUGCCCGGUAUAGAGAUAUAUCUUUCCCUUCGGGGACAGCGGUGACAGGUGGUGCAUGGUUGUCGUCAGCUCGUGUCGUGAGAUGUUGGGUUAAGUCCCGCAACGAGCGCAACCCUUGAUCUUAGUUGCCAGCAUUUUAGUUGGGCACUCUAAGGUGACUGCCGGUGACAAACCGGAGGAAGGUGGGGAUGACGUCAAAUCAUCAUGCCCCUUAUGACCUGGGCUACACACGUGCUACAAUGGAUGGUACAAAGGGCUGCAAGACCGCGAGGUUUAGCCAAUCCCAUAAAACCAUUCUCAGUUCGGAUUGCAGG